rnacentral:rRNA from 1 species
GACGAACGCUGGCGGCGUGCUUAACACAUGCAAGUCGAACGGAAAGGCCCCUUUGGGGGUACUCGAGUGGCGAACGGGUGAGUAACACGUGCGUAACCUGCCCUUGACUUCGGGAUAACUUCAGGAAACUGGGGCUAAUACCGGAUAGGAAUCCUUGCUGCAUGGUGGGGGUUGGAAAGCUUCGGCGGUUUUGGAUGGACUCGCGGCUUAUCAGCUUGUUGGUGGGGUAGUGGCUUACCAAGGCUUUGACGGGUAGCCGGCCUGGGAGGGCGACCGGCCACAUUGGGACUGAGAUACGGCCCAGACUCCUACGGGAGGCAGCAGUGGGGAAUAUUGGACAAUGGGCGGGAGCCUGAUGCAGCAACGCCGCGGGCGGGAUGACGGCCUUCGGGUUGUAAACCGCUUUCAGCAGGGGCGAAGCUUGUGGUGACGGUACCUGCAGAAGAAGCACCGGCUAACUACGUG